ACAAGCGGUGGAGCAUGUGGUUUAAUUCGACGAUACGCGAAGAACCUUACCCGGGUUUGACAUUGUAUCGAAGCAUCCAGAGAUGGAUGUGUCUCUUCGGAGACGGUAUGACAGGUGCUGCAUGGUUGUCGUCAGCUCGUGCCGUGAGGUGUCGGGUUAAGUCCCAUAACGAGCGCAACCCCUACCUUUAGUUGCCAUCAGGUUAAGCUGGGGACUCUAAAGGAACUGCCUACGCAAGUAGUGAGGAAGGCGGGGAUGACGUCAAAUCAGCACGGCCCUUACGUCCAGGGCUACACACGUGCUACAAUGGCCGAUACAGAGGGCAGCUACCUGGUGACAGGAUGCAAAUCUCCAAAGUCGGUCUCAGUUCGGAUCGGAGUCUGCAACCCGACUCCGUGAAGUUGGAUUCGCUAGUAAUCGCGCAUCAGCCAUGGCGCGGUGAAUACGUUCCCGGGCCUU
rnacentral:rRNA from 1 species